rnacentral:rRNA from 1 species
AACGAACGCUGGCGGCAUGCCUAACACAUGCAAGUCGUACGAGACCUUCGGGUCUAGUUGCGCACGGGUGCGUAACGCGUGGGAACCUGCCCUUAGGUUCGGAAUAACUCCCCGAAAGGGGUGCUAAUACCGGAUAAUGUCUUCGGACCAAAGAUUUAUCGCCUUUGGAUGGGCCCGCGUUGGAUUAGCUAGUUGGUAGGGUAAAAGCCUACCAAGGCGACGAUCCAUAGCUGGUCUGAGAGGAUGAUCAGCCACACUGGGACUGAGACACGGCCCAGACUCCUACGGGAGGCAGCAGUGGGGAAUAUUGGACAAUGGGCGAAAGCCUGAUCCAGCAAUGCCGCGUGAGUGAUGAAGGCCUUAGGGUUGUAAAGCUCUUUUACCCGGGAUGAUAAUGACAGUACCGGGAGAAUAAGCACCGGCUAACUCCGUG